rnacentral:tRNA from 1 species
UCCGGGGUAGUUUAAGGAUAGAACACUCGGCUGAUAUCCGAGAGGGUGCUGGUUCAAGUCCAGCCCCCGGAC